AAAGGANUUGACGGGGGCCCCACAAGCGNUGGAGUAUGUGGUUUAAUUCCGAUGCAACGCGAAGAACCUUACCUGGCCUUGACAUGUCCCGGAAUCCUGCAGAGAUGCGGGAGUGCCUUCGGGAAUCGGAACACAGGUGCUGCAUGGCUGUCGUCAGCUCGUGUCGUGAGAUGUUGGGUUAAGUCCCGCAACGAGCGCAACCCUUGUCCUUAGUUGCCAGCACGUAAAGGUGGGAACUCUAAGGAGACUGCCGGUGACAAACCGGAGGAAGGUGGGGAUGACGUCAAGUCCUCAUGGCCCUUACGGCCAGGGCUACACACGUACUACAAUGGUCGGUACAGAGGGUUGCAAUGCCGCGAGGCGGAGCCAAUCCCAGAAAGCCGAUCCCAGUCCGGAUUGGAGUCUGCAACUCGACUCCAUGAAGUCGGAAUCGCUAGUAACCGCGGAUCAGCUAUGCCGCGGUGAAUACGUUCCCGGCCUU
rnacentral:rRNA from 1 species